AGAGUUUGAUCAUGGCUCAGGACGAACGCUGGCGGCGUGCCUAACACAUGCAAGUCGAACGGGACUGGGGGCAACUCCAGUUCAGUGGCGAACGGGUGCGUAACACGUGAGGAAUUUGUCUUUCGGUGGGGGAUAGCCGGCCCAACGGCCGGGUAAUACCGCGUACGCUCUUCGGGGGGCAUCCUCUGGAGAGGAAAGCAGCAAUGCGCCGAAAGAGAACCUCGCGGCCUAUCAGCUAGUUGGUGGGGUCAUGGCCCACCAAGGCGACGACGGGUAGCUGGUCUGAGAGGAUGGCCAGCCACAUUGGGACUGAAACACGGCCCAGACUCCUACGGGAGGCAGCAGUGGGGAAUCUUGCGCAAUGGGCGAAAGCCUGACGCAGCGACGCCGCGUGUGGGAUGACGGCCUUCGGGUUGUAAACCACUGUCGGGAGGGACGAAGCUCUGACGGUACCUCCAAAGGAAGCACCGGCUAACUCUGUGCCAGCAGCCGCGGUAAUACAGAGGGUGCGAGCGUUGUCCGGAAUCACUGGGCGUAAAGGGCGCGUAGGCGGCCUGAUAAGUAGGGGGUGAAAUCCUGUGGCUCAACUGCAGGGCUGCCUCCUAGACUGUCGGGCUUGAGCACGGUAGAGGCAGAUGGAAUUCCCGGUGUAGCGGUGGAAUGCGUAGAGAUCGGGAAGAACAUCGGUGGCGAAGGCGGUCUGCUGGGCCGUUGCUGACGCUGAGGCGCGACAGCGUGGGGAGCAAACAGGAUUAGAUACCCUCGUAGUCC
rnacentral:rRNA from 1 species